UGUUUCAUUCAAAUUUCUGCCCUAUCAACUUUCGACGGUAGGGUAGUGGCCUACCGUGGUGGUAACGGGUGACGGAGGAUUAGGGUUCGAUUCCGGAGAGGGAGCCUGAGAAACGGCUACCACAUCCAAGGAAGGCAGCAGGCGCGCAAAUUACCCAAAUCCCAACUCGGGGAGGUAGUGACAAGAAAUAACGAUGCUCCGGCCAUCGGUCGGGUAAUCGGAAUGAGAACAAUUUAAAUCCCUUAUCGAGGAUCAAUUGGAGGGCAAGUCUGGUGCCAGCAGCCGCGGUAAUUCCAGCUCCAAUAGCGUAUAUUUAAGUUGCUGCGGUUAAAAAGCUCGUAGUCGGAUUUCGGGUGGUGCCUGCCGGUCCGCCUUUGGUGAGUACUGGUAGGCGCUACCUUUCUGCCGAGGACGGGUUCCUGGGCUUAACUGUCUGGGGCCCGGAGUCGGCGAUGUCACUUUGAGUAAAUUAGGGUGUUUAAAGCAGGCUUAUGCUCUGUAUACACUAGCAUGGGAUGACACGAUAGGACUUCGGUCUAUCUUGUCGGUCUGUAGAUCGGAGUAAUGAUUAAGAGGGACAGUCGGGGGCAUUCGUAUUUCGUAGUCAGAGGUGAAAUUCUUGGAUUUACGGAAGACGAACUUCUGCGAAAGCAUUUGCCAAGGAUGUUUUCAUUGAUCAAGAACGAAAGUCGGGGGCUCGAAGACGAUUAGAUACCGUCGUAGUCUCGACCAUAAACGAUGC
rnacentral:rRNA from 1 species